GUGGGGAAUCUUGCGCAAUGGGCGAAAGCCUGACGCAGCCAUGCCGCGUGAAUGAUGAAGGUCUUAGGAUUGUAAAAUUCUUUCACCGGGGACGAUAAUGACGGUACCCGGAGAAGAAGCUCCGGCUAACUUCGUGCCAGCAGCCGCGGUAAUACGAAGGGGGCUAGCGUUGCUCGGAAUUACUGGGCGUAAAGGGCGCGUAGGCGGACAGCUUAGUCAGAGGUGAAAGCCCAGGGCUCAACCUUGGAAUUGCCUUUGAUACUGGCUGUCUUGAGUUUGGGAGAGGUGAGUGGAACUCCGGGUGUAGAGGUGAAAUUCGUAGAUAUUCGGAAGAACACCAGUGGCGAAGGCGACUCACUGGCCCAAUACUGACGCUGAGGCGCGAAAGCGUGGGGAGCAAACAGGAUUAGAUACCCUUGUAGUCC
rnacentral:rRNA from 1 species